rnacentral:rRNA from 1 species
AAGUCGAGCGAACGGACGAGAAGCUUGCUUCUCUGAUGUUAGCGGCGGACGGGUGAGUAACACGUGGAUAACCUACCUAUAAGACUGGGAUAACUUCGGGAAACCGGAGCUAAUACCGGAUAAUAUUUUGAACCGCAUGGUUCAAAAGUGAAAGACGGUCUUGCUGUCACUUAUAGAUGGAUCCGCGCUGCAUUAGCUAGUUGGUAAGGUAACGGCUUACCAAGGCAACGAUGCAUAGCCGACCUGAGAGGGUGAUCGGCCACACUGGAACUGAGACACGGUCCAGACUCCUACGGGAGGCAGCAGUAGGGAAUCUUCCGCAAUGGGCGAAAGCCUGACGGAGCAACGCCGCGUGAGUGAUGAAGGUCUUCGGAUCGUAAAACUCUGUUAUUAGGGAAGAACAUAUGUGUAAGUAACUGUGCACAUCUUGACGGUACCUAAUCAGAAAGCCACGGCUAACUACGUGCCAGCAGCCGCGGUAAUACGUAGGUGGCAAGCGUUAUCCGGAAUUAUUGGGCGUAAAGCGCGCGUAGGCGGUUUUUUAAGUCUGAUGUGAAAGCCCACGGCUCAACCGUGGAGGGUCAUUGGAAACUGGAAAACUUGAGUGCAGAAGAGGAAAGUGGAAUUCCAUGUGUAGCGGUGAAGUGCGCAGAGAUAUGGAGGAACACCAGUGGCGAAGGCGACUUUCUGGUCUGUAACUGACGCUGAUGUGCGAAAGCGUGGGGAUCAAACAGGAUU